rnacentral:rRNA from 1 species
AGCAGCCGCGGUAAUUCCAGCUCCAAUAGCGUAUAUUAAAGUUGUUGCAGUUAAAAAGCUCGUAGUUGAAUUUCGGGGUCAGUAGGUCGGUCGUGCCACUGGUAUGAACUGGUUUUACUGAUUCCUCCCUCUUGAAGAACUGUAAUGCCAUUAAUUUGGUGUUGCAGGGAAUCAGGACUGUUACUUUGAAAAAAUUAGAGUGUUUAAAGCAGGCUUUAGCUUGAAUACAUUAGCAUGGAAUAAUGAAAUAGGACGUUUGAUCCUAUUUUGUUGGUUUCUAGGAUUGACGUAAUGAUUAAUAGGGAUAGUUGGGGGCAUUAGUAUUCAAUUGUCAGAGGUGAAAUUCUUGGAUUUAUCGAAGACUAACUACUGCGAAAGCAUUUGCCAAGGAUGUUUUCAUUAAUCAAGAACGAAAGUUAGGGGAUCGAAGACGAUCAGAUACCGUCGUAGUCUUAACCAUAAACUAUGCC